rnacentral:rRNA from 1 species
GAGGGUGAUGCCUGCCCAAUGGUUGUAUCUAAAAGCGGUUGAUAAAAGUCGACCUCGUAAGGACAAUUGAAUGGCCGCGGUAACACUGACCGUGAUAAUGUAGCGUAAUCAAUAGCCAAUUAAUUGUUGGCCAGUAUGAAUGGCGCCACGAAGGCCCCACUGUCUUAAGGAAAUUCCCAGUGAAAUUGAAUUCGUAGUGAAGAUGCUACGUCCAAUUUGUUAGACGAAAAGACCCCGUUGAGCUUUACUGGAGCACUUAUAUGGCCCCGGCCUUCCCAUGCCUGGGAACCGGCCGAAUUUAAAUGGGCGGCUUAGAUUAUGUGGCAGCCCCCCGCUGGGGCAAAUGAAACACCACUCCCCCAUGUCAAAGGGGCUAACCCCCCCCUUGGGGGGGACAGUGUAAGUAGGACAGUUUGGUUGGGGCGACCGCCUUUUAAAAAGUAACGAAGGUGCGCUUAAGGUGUGCAAUUAAUGACUGAAGCCUGACUGCGAGGGGGGUACCCCGAGCAGACACCCCUAAGCCCGCCCG